AAAAGGGAAUUACUUAACCAACCUUUUAUACAGAGCGAUGUGGAGGUGUCUGAAUUUGUGGACUAUGUCCGCAAAAACAGUGACAGUAUCACGUGUUUGGAAGAGGAUUAUAUGGUGCAUCACACUGGACAGCAGCAAAAGAAUUGGCCAAGAAAUCAAGCACCAAACUGGAUGAGGAGGGAUUAGAGAUUGCUGUCUGUCGUCAUGGCGUUCUCCUUACGGCCUUAAAUAUGUUUCGAGGGGAAAUUUUUGCUUACCCCUUUUUUCUGCAGAAAAAACUUGCAGACAUGUCACAAGGGAGCAUCAAAUUCUGCUGUUCAGAUGUAGCCUGAAAAUACUUCCCAUAUCUCCAGCGUAUUUCUAAGCACUUCCCCGAGCUGCAGUCUUUACUGAACAUGCAUCCUUUUCUGUCAGUGAUGCAUGCCAAAGCACACUCUUGGAAAUGUGAGGUAUAUUGCCAUGUGUUUUAAGUAUGUUAUUAUAAGAAAUAAUAUAAAAAAAUUAAAAAUUUGAGUGCAUUGUUUUUGUCGGAUUUGAAAACUUAAGUAUAAGUUUUAAGUAUAGUGUGAAGUAUAGUGGGGCCUACCAGGAAGGAGCUGGGUCAACUAUUGGUGAGGAAGUGGAGCAGGUGAACAGCUUCCUAUCUAGAACUGCUGUUACAAGCAAAUACAUGUCAAAAUCAGGUAUGUUGAAUAAGGUAUGAUUAAUGCAGAAUGACUUUUGUUAUAUACACAUCUCUCAUUACAUUUUCUUAUAUUUCUGUUAUAGGCCGAGCACACAUUUGGGACAAGCUCUGGUUAACAGAUAUGUAAAGACUCAGAAGGCUCUGCAAAUGCAGCAACACAGCUUGGAAGAACUGAAGACAGAGCGUUCACUGCAUGAAGAUUGUGUUCAUCAGUGGGUUUCAGAUGUUCAACAAUGGGUAGAAGAAAGUGACCGACAUGGGAGUGGUGGU